GGUCUCUCAAACUGUGGGCAAGUGCGGAGCACGAUUUGGGAUUGGUUGAUGUGUGGGCGGAUGCCUCCUUGGCUCAAAGCCGCAGAGAGAAGAAGCUGCCCAAGAAUGGAAAGGAAGAAAUAUAUCACAUCAUCUGUGUGUCCACAGGCUUUCCUUGGGGCUUAUGAAGAUUUCCUCGUGGCAGUGAUUCCUCUUCACUCGUUUGAAUUCAGAAGGGUGGCACAGACAGCUUAAAAACACUACUACCUCCUUCAUUAGACCUUCUUUAUUAUGUCCUUUUGGAAAAGUAAUGGAGCCCAGUCAACUUAACUUCAUUGAUCUCCAAGAACUAUUGAAAAUUAUAAAGCUUGCUGUGGGAUUCUGACAUGACAGAAGCCACUAGAAAAAGAAGUUUGAUAUUCAGAACUUAAUCAAGAGGUUCUCCUCAUCUUUGAAUAGAGAUCAAAAUGAUAC